rnacentral:lncRNA from 10 species
GCUCCCUUCGCCGCGCCUCGCGUGCUAGCGGUGCCCUUGUGAGCCACUGCGUUCUCCAAGGCCAGAACGGGACAGCAAAAAAGACAGAAGAUUAAAGGAUCUGAAAUUCAUUCAACGAUAAAAGUGCUUAAAACAUUCUAUCUUGGAGAGAUUUACAUUUUAAUUGGUAGCAAGCUUGAAAAGAAAAGAAUGAAGAUCUUGGAUACUUCUAAUCAUCAAGGAAAGGGUACAAAUCAAACUGCUCUGAUGGCCUGAUUUGCACUUCUUCUACAGUUGACGAUGGUCGUACUUCUCCAUGUUCUGAGACCAGUUUAAACAAAAACAAAAACCAGACAACAACCUUGCAAGGGAAAGAAUUCAGAGUAAAUAAACAGUCUUUUUCUGGGAAGUAAAAUAUUUCCCUAAGAUGGAGAAAUUGAGAUGAGAGCUCAUCCACAAGAUUACCCAUCAAUGAGCACCAAUAGCAACCAAAUCCACUAGAAGACUGGGAGCUUUUAAGUCAAGAAACUUACAUCAGUAUCAUCAUUCCAAGAAGCGGUAUCCAAGCUGUUUUAUCGAAAGUGCGCAUGGGAGAUGGUGCUGUGAGUGGGGAGUGAGUCAAAAACUCCGCUGGGGUGUACAAAAGUCUACUCAAAUGUCCACAGCAUCUGUGGGGGAUGGAGAAUAGUUGGAGGAUCUUUCUCCAGAAUCCUUCUGUUCUGUAGUACAAGUAUUACUCAUUAUAGACUAGCACGAAAAAUCAAGUGAAAUGCGAACUUAAGAGUUUAAAAAGAAUAAAUGGUGCUUUUCUGGCCUAUUAGUAAUAAAUUAAAUAAAAAUAAUUUUAAUUUGUAAGUAAUGAAUGCUAAUCUACAUUGUAUUAAUUGGGCUUAACCAGAGAGUUUUUGUUUACAUACAUUAGGCAAACAAACAAUAGGAAUGAGGAUUUUUAAUAAAGAAGGAAGCCAGAAACACACACACACAAGCACACACACACACACACACACACACACACACACACACACCAAGUAAGAG